rnacentral:rRNA from 1 species
AGCUUGCUCUGUGGAUCAGUGGCGAACGGGUGAGUAACACGUGAGCAAUCUGCCCCUGACUCUGGGAUAAGCGCUGGAAACGGCGUCUAAUACCGGAUACGAGCUGCGAUCGCAUGGUCAGUAGCUGGAAAGAAUUUCGGUCAGGGAUGAGCUCGCGGCCUAUCAGCUUGUUGGUGAGGUAAUGGCUCACCAAGGCGUCGACGGGUAGCCGGCCUGAGAGGGUGACCGGCCACACUGGGACUGAGACACGGCCCAGACUCCUACGGGAGGCAGCAGUGGGGAAUAUUGCACAAUGGGCGGAAGCCUGAUGCAGCAACGCCGCGUGAGGGAUGACGGCCUUCGGGUUGUAAACCUCUUUUAGCAGGGAAGAAGCGAAAGUGACGGUACCUGCAGAAAAAGCGCCGGCUAACUACGUGCCAGCAGCCGCGGUAAUACGUAGGGCGCAAGCGUUAUCCGGAAUUAUUGGGCGUAAAGAGCUCGUAGGCGGUCUGUCGCGUCUGCUGUGAAAACCCGAGGCUCAACCUCGGGCCUGCAGUGGGUACGGGCAGACUAGAGUGCGGUAGGGGAGAUUGGAAUUCCUGGUGUAGCGGUGGAAUGCGCAGAUAUCAGGAGGAACACCGAUGGCGAAGGCAGAUCUCUGGGCCGUAACUGACGCUGAGGAGCGAAAGGGUGGGGAGCAAACAGGCUUA